rnacentral:rRNA from 1 species
CAGGCGAGACUACCCGCUGAGUUUAAGCAUAUCAAUAAG